GCAUCUCCACUAAAAUAGUGUUUGGUAGGAAAUGGAGCCAAAUCCAAUAGAUUAGUAGGAUUCUGACCAUAAAUAGUUGCAAAAGGACUACAACUAGUGCUUUGACUUAUGGAUUGAUUAUAAGCAAAUUCAGCAUGUGCUGGCAAAAGAUCCCACUCACAAAUAUUCAUUUUCACCAAACUUCUCAAGAGAUAGCCCA
rnacentral:lncRNA from 1 species